rnacentral:rRNA from 1 species
AUAUCAAUAAGCGGAGGAAAAGAAACCAACAGGGAUUGCCCCAGUAACGGCGAGUGAAGCGGCAACAGCUCAAAUUUGAAAUCUGGCCCUCGGGUCCGAGUUGUAAUUUGCAGAGGAUGCUUUUGGUGCGGUGCCUUCCGAGUUCCCUGGAACGGGACGCCAUAGAGGGUGAGAGCCCCGUCCGGUUGGAUGCCUGGCCUCUGUAAAGCUCCUUCGACGAGUCGAGUAGUUUGGGAAUGCUGCUCUAAAUGGGAGGUAUAUGUCUUCUAAAGCUAAAUACUGGCCAGAGACCGAUAGCGCACAAGUAGAGUGAUCGAAAGAUGAAAAGCACUUUGAAAAGAGGGUUAAACAGUACGUGAAAUUGUUGAAAGGGAAGCGUUUGUGACCAGACCUGGGCUCGGUGAAUCAUCCAGCGUUCUCGCUGGUGCACUUCGCCGGCCCAGGCCAGCAUCAGUUCGCCGCGGGGGAUAAAGGCUUCGGGAACGUGGCUCCUCCGGGAGUGUUAUAGACCGUUGCGCAAUACCCCGUGGUGGACUGAGGUUCGCGCUCCGCAAGGAUGCUGGCGUAAUGGUCAUCAACGA